rnacentral:rRNA from 1 species
GACGAACGCUGGCGGCGUGCCUAAUACAUGCAAGUUGAGCGCUGAAGGUUGGUACUUGUACCAACUGGAUGAGCAGCGAACGGGUGAGUAACGCGUGGGGAAUCUGCCUUUGAGCGGGGGACAACAUUUGGAAACGAAUGCUAAUACCGCAUAAAAACUUUAAACACAAGUUUUAGGUUUGAAAGAUGCAAUUGCAUCACUCAAAGAUGAUCCCGCGUUGUAUUAGCUAGUUGGUGAGGUAAAGGCUCACCAAGGCGAUGAUACAUAGCCGACCUGAGAGGGUGAUCGGCCACAUUGGGACUGAGACACGGCCCAAACUCCUACGGGAGGCAGCAGUAGGGAAUCUUCGGCAAUGGACGAAAGUCUGACCGAGCAACGCCGCGUGAGUGAAGAAGGUUUUCGGAUCGUAAAACUCUGUUGGUAGAGAAGAACGUUGGUGAGAGUGGAAAGCUCACCAAGUGACGGUAACUACCCAGAAAGGGACGGCUAACUACGUG